GUUUCUCCGUGUAUAUCUCUCAAUUUUGCUUGAUUGUUUUCGAUCAUUGUUACCGCUUAUUAGUUUGGGAUUAUAGCAUCCACUUUUGAUUACACUUUUUGCUGCAAUUUUUCUUUCAUUUCAGUGAUUUACAUAUUUUUGGUUGCCUUCAGUUUUCUCGGCCAGCUUUAUGCUAUUGUCGUUGUGUUGUUAGACUUUGAUUUUUAAUUUUUUGCUUCUACUUUGUCGAGUCCUUGUGAAAAUUAUUUCCCCCCGCAUAGAAAUAGUAUUUUACAUAUCGACCCUUUCUUUACUCAACUGAGGCCAAACUAGAUAAACGUCAUCGAAAAAUAGCAAACUAGAUACUUUAUCAGGAUAUGACUAUUGCGCAAUUUCUUGUCGCAGAUAUCAAUAAUAAUGGGCUCAUAAGAAAAUCUGAUGAACUUUGAUGAUUCAACCAGAGCGGAUAGUGACUAAACACAUGGAUCGCUUUGUCUCCUACUCCUCUAUUAAAGCUUGCUGCUCUGUCUGAAACUGAUUUCCAUUAUCAAGACAAGGGUUCUCCCAUUGGCUAUGUGGUAUAUGUUUCAUCGAACAUGCAGGUGGCGCAUAAAUUCCACCCGCGAGAGAGCAGAGACCAAGCUAUGCACUUUUAAAUUGUAAUUUCGCAAGAUGAAAAUCAAUUCUUGAUCUCAACGAUACUUUGAGUUUGAUGAUGUAGCGGCAUUUCAUGCUUUACUCUAUUAGCAUUUCAUGCUUAACUCAACAAGAUAUUUCAGUUAUUUUUAUGUAGCUACUAUCAGCAAAAUGUUUCAUUGAAUAAAUGUUUCACAUUUCACUUG